rnacentral:rRNA from 1 species
GACGAACGCUGGCGGCGUGCUUAACACAUGCAAGUCGAGCGGUAAGGCCCUUUCGGGGGUACACGAGCGGCGAACGGGUGAGUAACACGUGGGUGACCUGCCCUUAGCUCUGGGAUAAGCCUGGGAAACUGGGUCUAAUACCGGGAUAUGACUCCAUGACGCAUGUUGUGGGGUGGAAAGCCUUGUGCGGCUAGGGAUGGGGCCCGCGGCCUAUCAGCUUGUUGGGUGGGGUGAU